rnacentral:lncRNA from 1 species
CUGUCUUUGAAAAUUGUGAUAGUGGAUUCCUUUUCACUAGAGGUUUUUAUUCAAGUGAAGUUCUGUUCCCUAUCCAGAGACGGAGAAAAGCACUAUUGUUAUAAUGGUACUCUUAAAAUAUCAAGAGAAAAUGAAAAAGGACUCUAGGAUAUUGAGUGGAACCCUACAGUGACCUUAUGAUUGGAAAUUCAAGUGCUGCUGUGCGAGAAAGCCAUGAUGCCUCAUUUGCAUUUAUUUAGAGUGAUGUGGCAUCAAGAGACAAUAGGAAAAUACUAGCUCACCAAAGACAGCUUUACAGUAUGUUUCACAUACAUGAUUUCAUUUGAUCCUGUCAAGAACCUUAUAAGCUGUUCCCUAUACAUAGAAGUGUCCUGGAGUCAACUGGAGAGCUGAUUAUUAAAUAUUUAGGGUGAGUGCUUAUACCUCGAAAAUGGGCAAAUUGUCUAGUAUGAAGAAAAUGAUGGAGAAAGUGUUAA